UACGGAGGGUGCAAGCGUUGCUCGGAAUUAUUGGGCGUAAAGGGUAGGUAGGUGGUCUCAUUUGUCAGGGGUGAAAGCCUUGGGCUUAACCCAAGAAGUGCCUUUGAAACGGUGAGACUGGAGUCCUGGAGAGGGUCGUGGAAUUCCCGGUGUAGCGGUGAAAUGCGUAGAGAUCGGGAGGAACACCAGAGGCGAAGGCGGCGACCUGGACAGGUACUGACACUCAACUACGAAAGCGUGGGGAGCAAACAGG
rnacentral:rRNA from 1 species